GCGCGAGUCCCGGUUCCGGCAGCGCACCCCGCGGGCGGCCGCCCCGUCCUGCUUCUCUCGGCCGUCAGGUCCCGGGGCCGCCCCGUUCCCCCGUCCCCCUCUGUGCCCGAGGCCGCCCCGUCCCCAGCUGUUCCCUUCUACGCCCGGGGCCGCCCGGUCCCCAACUGUCCCCUUCUACGUCCGGAGCCGCCCGGUCCCCAACUGUCCCCUUCUACGCGUGGGGCCGCCCCGUCCCCUACUGUCCCCUUCUACGCCGCUCUGUUCCCCUACAUCCCCCGGUCCCCCUCUCUUCUCUAACCUUGGGGUUCCCCUCUCUGUCCCCCUCCAUCCCUGAGCCCCUCUCUGUCCCCAUCGAUUCCUACGUCCCUUCUCUCCCCUCUGUCCUCAGGUCCACCAGAGUGGGGGAGGGGAGCACGGAGGCUCCCCUUGGAAUUGGGAGAAACGUGUUUAUCUUGUAGAGGGCGAUCUCAGCCCUCACCAAGGUUAACAGCUAGGUUUUCCCAUGAAUGUGUAAACAAUUUAAAUUAGGUGGAAGCCGACAUUUAGUGUGUGUGUGUGUUUUUCCAUAUAAAUUAUCUCCGAAAAUAUACCGUCAUGUUGAUUUUUAAGAAAAAUGUCGAGAACGCUAACCAGAGCAUUUUUAAAUCCAAAAUGGGAAACUGAAUUGUAACUGUAUUAUAGUUUUUGUUUCAAAAUAAGAGUUUAACGGACACUAAACAUUUUGAAAGAAUGGACUAGGAAAAAAAAAAAGGGUUUUGUAUGUUUAAUUUUAGAGAGUCCGGCAGAAGCCUGUGGCUUAAGACUAGGUGGGGACCUUAGUGAGUCUGGAGUGGAGAAGGGUGGUUUGUCUUGUACCUGUGGUAUGUGGGCUGUGAAGGUUGUGCAGAGUGAAUUGACAGUGUUCUUGGCCAGUGUUCAUCACAUUUACCCCAGCAACCGAGAGCCAGGACCAGCCCUCCUUGGGGACCUGUACCUUAACUGUUUCCAGGAAUGCAAAUGGCUUUGUUUUGAACCAUCUACAGAUUUACCCAAGUGCCCACUGACCGGGCCCCAGUAACUGGCAGCCAAGAGCGUUUGGGCAGCCGUUGUGUUGGGGGCAGGGUUCGCUCAGUAGUUAGCGCUUGUGACCUUGGCCCCACUAGUUCCAAAGUAAGCAGGAGUGUGGAGCAAGUCCCCCGCUGAGGGCCAGGCACCCUGGAUCAGGGGGAGCCGGAGAUGAAGGGGAAGGCUCUGUGUGGGCCAGAGAGGCCAGGAUGGCUGCCUCUGCAAGAUGAGUGAAUGCAGACAGAAAAAUGAAAUCAACUUUGCAGGCCACAAAGCAAAUCAGAGACAGAGUUGGACCUCGAGUUGUCCAGUAACCCCCCAGGUGCUUCCUCCUCCUGCUCCUCGCUGAAGAUCCUUGCUCUGUUUUCACUCUCGCAGUCUUGGAGAGAACAUAGUCAGCUCCAUUUCUUGGGCGUGACCCUCGUUCUCUGCUCACCUUGAGCCGCUCCAGUCUCUGCCACUGUCUUCAAGAGGCAUUUAACUAAAAGAAUUAAAAGAAUAUGGCCAUAAAGAGAUUUGGUCAACCUCAUUCAUAGCAGUUUAUCCGCAAUAGUCAAAAACUGGAGCCUGUCCAGGAGUCAAUGACCGGAAGAUGUGGUGAAUUGUACGAUGUGUGGCUGCUCAUCAACAGAAGAGCCUGCAGCAACACGAGUGUGUCUCAGACGCAUUUGGCCUCACAUGCAAGAAUGCCUACUGCAAGAUUCAUUUUGAUUACAUUUUAGAAGAUGCACAACUGAUGUUUAAAGAACCAGCAUGUCAGUUGCCAUGGUGAGCAGGGGUGGAGAUUGACUUGAAAGGGCAUGAGGGGGCUCUCUUGACCUGGUGGGCAUGUUUAAUGUCUGGAUAAAGGUUUGGGUUACACAGGAGAUUACAUUUUUCCCAAACUGAUUGGCUGAUACUUAAGAUUUGUGCAUUUAACUUUCUGCAAAUUUACCUCCCUCUUCCCCACCAAAAAGAAGAGAGCCAUAGACAAAUAUUGAACUCACAGUAAUAACAUGCAAGCUGCAGUGUUCAGAGGGGAAGCAUGCUAAGGCAUACUGUAUGCUUUGAAACUUCAAGAAAUUGAGAGAGAGAGAGAAAAAGGGGAAGGAAGAGGAGGAGGAGGAGGGAGGGGCAGAUGGCUUGAAGGAUGGAUCCGUGAUUGAUGCAUGGGUGGAUGGAUUUAUAUGCCACAAAGCAAAUAUAGUAAAAUGGUAAUUUUCGAAUCCCAGUGGAGGGUGUUUGGGUGUUCACUGAUCCUUUAAACUUCUCUUUAUAUUUGAAAACGUUUCUGAUAAAAAGUUGGGGGGAAAUAUGCUAGAGCAGGGAACAUUGGGUGCCCUGCUGCAGUGCACCUUGGUUAAUGAGAUCUGGCUCCAAAUUCUGAAACGUAAUAGCCAUGGGACUUGGGUAAGUUAUCCAGCACAUCUAAACCUCAGUUUCCUAGCCUAUAAGAUAGGCUAAAAAUUAUGCCUGCUGCCUGUACCUGCUCUCUAGGCACUCUACAGGCCCUUCUUUGGUACUAAGUUAUUCCUCCUAACAGCAUACCAUGGAGGCCAUUUCUAUUGAACACCCUGCUGUACAGAUGAGACUGAAGCUGAAAGGGAGAUGAAGAGAGGAGCCAGGAUUUGUCUGGGGUACCUUUGGUUCCAGGCUUGGCAUUUUUGCUCACCAUGCUCAGGGCCUCAUAAUUUCGACUGAACCAUUUUGUUGAAACCUAUGUUGAUGUUGAGAGGAAGACUUAAAGCCAGGUUAUUUUGGAGUUAACUUUAGAAUCCCUGUCUUUGUAACUAAUUAUAGCUAUAGCAUGCAGAUUUAAGGCAUCUAAUGAGUCAGAGUAGAAAGUUCGUACUUGAAUAGAGUGUAUUAGUCUCAUGUGGCUGCUGUAACAAACACCACAAACUUAGUGGCUCAAAACAACUGAAAUGAAUUCUCUCAGAGUCUGGGGGCCAGAAAUCUACACUGAGUCAUGGGCAGGACCAUGCUCUUUCUGGAGGCUCCAGAGGAGAAUCGGUUCCUUGCCACUUUCAGCUUCUCGUGGCCGCAUUACUGCAGUCUCUCCUCUGGUCAUGUUGCUGCCUCCCCUUCUAUAGGUGUCAAAUGUAUCUCUCACUUCCCUUAUAAGAACACUUGUCAUCGGACAUAGGGCCACUUGGAUAAUGCAGGAUACGCCCCUGUCAACCUGCUGAAUUUAAUUACAUCUGCAAAGAUCUGUUUUCCAAGUCAAGCCACGUCCACAGAUUCCAGUGACUUAACAUGGAUAUCUUUGGGGAGGCCAUCUCUUUGUUCUGCCACACUCAGCAAAACCAUAUAAAUUAACGUGUGUUCAAUAGUGCUUAGCAGUAGAAUAAUGGACUAAAUAUUGCAAGAUAUUAUAGGCAAGAGGUAAGAAGACUGUGGACAAUCACAGUAAAUCUUAAGCUGAUAUCAUAAAGCCAGACUCAGUGGAAACAAGUGUGAAGACUACAGCAUUUCCCAGUAACUUGAUAUGGAUUAUUUAAUGUAAUCCUCAGGAUGGCCCCACCACCUCCAUUGUGAGUAACGAGGAAACCGAGGCACAGGAAGUAUUUAUCUGGCUCAGCCACCCAGCCUUGUUAAGGAAAGGUCAUAAGGAAAGGUGACUACUCGGUGUUCCACAUUGCAACCCUCUGAGAUAAAUGCCACCAUAAUCUCUGCUGUAUAGACCUGGAAACUGAGGUGGGGGAGAGGAACUAACAUGCCAGAGGUCACUGACUGUCAGGUCACUGACUGUCACUGACCGGCCGGUAGAGGAGGAGGGAGUCCAGGAGCUCACAGGGCAGCUCUGCAGCCUUGGACAGAGUAACGGGCAGGGAUUUGAACCCGGGAUUCUGAGCCCAGAGGCUGAGGCACAGCCACUGCUGUGUAAUAGUAACCAAGAGAAUUGAAAGAGAAGGUUGCAGACUUGUUUCCAAGGAUUAUCAUUAGAACUUGGCACCAGGGAGAUGAGGUGAGCCAUGGUCCUGUCUCCAAGGAGGCCGCAGUGGGCUGCGAGUCCUGCAGAGGACACUUUAGUGCUUCACUGUGCUCUCGGGCCAGAUGCCCUUGGCACUAGGAAGUGCUGUGGUACCCCUAUGGGGAUGGUCACUCAUCCGAAUGCCGCUGCUUCCUCCAUGCCCUUCUAAGUUAGCCAGGAGUGUGUCUUCCCUUGUAUUCACUGAGAGCCUGUGCACCUGUCCCUUGGACUUCCCCAGUGCCCUGAGCAGCACCCCCCUUGCUGUCCUCCCUCACUUUCUGCAGCAACCACGUGGUGCUCUCAUUGCGGAUCCUGAGGAUUCUGCACUGGUCUCCCUGGGCGCUAUGGAUCCUGCAGUCUUGGUGGAUUGCUCUGCCUUCCUCCUAGGUCUGUGAGCUUCUAAGGGAAGGGAUUGACUUCCAUCUCCACAUCCCAUUGCCACUAUGGGACGUGCAGAAGUGGACAGAGUUGAUAGCUUGAGUCGGAAAUGCAACUCAUUUAACUUCCUGCAGAACGGUGCUUGGGAGGUAAACUCCCUGAGUUUUUGCCUGUCUAUAGGGGUACUGUUGUCUUUUAUGUCUUGUAUUACAGCUGUUUGUGAAUAUUUCUCUUCCCUCCUAGACUCAGUUGCUAGGAAAUAGUAAUUGAGUCUUCAGCAUCUUUCUUCCCUUUGCAAAUGUCAGCAAGCACUCACCUUAAGAGUUUUAAAAAGUACUAGUGUUAUCUAUUAGUCUAUAAAGCAGCCUUUAGAAAUUAAGAUUCAGAACUGUUAGACUUUAUAAGAAGGCAAAAAGAAAAGGGAAGAUUGCCAAAGAUUGGUGAUUGAUACAUUUGGUAUAAAUCUAAAACCCGUCAUUGAGUAUUAAGUUGUUAAAAAAAAAAAAAAGGUAGGGAACAUGAAAAAAAUUACAGCUGGGUUAAAAGAAUUGAAGCUGACAAUUGCAAGUAAGAUUACAGUUUACCCCUGUAAAUUAAAUAAGUUAUGGUUAUAUUUGCUUCUGAAUACUUUUAAUCUUACUUUGGUCAACUGUAUUCUAAAUAAAAUGAACUACCAGUAAUGCCUUCUAAAAACUUAGCAAUCACUAAAAAUUUUCCAAGGAAAUUUCACAAGGACGGGAAACUGGUAGAUGGUCUUCAGGUUUGAAGCACCUGCAAGUAUGUAAUACACUAUUUAAAUAAACAAAUGAACCCUACUCAUA